rnacentral:rRNA from 1 species
UACCAGCACCCCGAGUGGUCGGGACGAUUAUUGGGCCUAAAUCAUCCGUAGCCGGUUUUACAAGUCCCCCGUUAAAUCCAGCUGCUUAACAGAUGGGCUGCGGAGGAUACUAUAAGACUAGGAGGCAGGAGAGGCAAGCGGUACUCAGUGGGUAGGGGUAAAAUCCGUUGAUCCAUUGAAGACCACCAGUGGCGAAGGCGGCUUGCCAGAAUGCGCUCGACGGUGAGGGGUGAAAGCUGGGGGAGCAAACCGG